rnacentral:tRNA from 1 species
AUUUAAUUAGUAUAUUCAAGUACAUUUAAUUUCCAAUUAAAAAGAUUUAUUACAAAAAUUAAAUA